GCGGCCGCCCGCCUACAACCUGGAGGCCGGCCAGGGCGACUACGCGUGCGGCCCGCACGGCUACGGCGCCAUCCCCGCCGCGCCCCCGCCGCCGCCCUACCCCUACCUCGUCACAGGGAUACCCACCCACCAUCCCAGGGUCUACAACAUCCACAGCCGGACCGUCACCCGCUAUCCUGCCAACUCUAUCGUGGUCGUAGGAGGCUGUCCUGUCUGCAGGUGAGUGGGUCUGCAGCCUGGGGACUGGCCCUGGAAGCUCUGAGGACCCCCGCCCUAACCCCCAGGACCUCACAGCUCUGCUUGUGGGAGUGGGUCCGGCUUGACUUGGAUCUUGACCAGAGCCCUUUAUGGGAGGGACAGACAGGCUGCCCGAAUGCGGUGUGGGAGAGUGCGGGUCCGCUCACCCUUGGCUCUGAACACAUUUUGUGGGGGCAAAAGGGUGGAUUCCUUUUCCUAGAUCUUGGGGCAUUGC
rnacentral:lncRNA from 1 species